UACGUAGGGUGCGAGCGUUAAUCGGAAUUACUGGCGUAAAGCGUGCGCAGGCGGUCCUUCAAGUCAGAUGUGAAAGCCCCGGGCUCAACCUGGGAACAGCAUUUGAGACUGGAGGACUUGAGGACGGGAGAGGAGAGUGGAAUUCCCAGUGUAGAGGUGAAAUUCGUAGAUAUUGGGAAGAACACCAAUGGCGAAGGCGGCCUGCUGGGCAGUUACUGGACACUGAGGCGCGACAGCGUGGGGAGCAACAGGG
rnacentral:rRNA from 1 species